UGGCUCAGAACGAACGCUGGCGGCAUGCCUAACACAUGCAAGUCGAACGAUCCCUUCGGGGAUAGUGGCGCACGGGUGCGUAACGCGUGGGAAUCUGCCCUUAGGUUCGGAAUAACUCAGGGAAACUUGAGCUAAUACCGGAUGAUGACUUCGGUCCAAAGAUUUAUCGCCUAGGGAUGAGCCCGCGUCGGAUUAGCUAGUUGGUGGGGUAACGGCCCACCAAGGCGACAGUCAAUAGCUGGUCUGAGAGGAUGACCAGCCACACUGGGACUGUUUUCUCGGCCCAGACGACUACGGGAGGCAGC
rnacentral:rRNA from 1 species